rnacentral:lncRNA from 1 species
UUUCCUAGCUAACUCUGUUUUCAGACGCCUCUCUUCUUUUUCCAAAUCAACUUUGUUCCAUUCUCACCGACCGUCUCUAGAGUAAGUGGCAAAGGACUUGGUGGUUGGUACCCGAGACUCAAGUUCGAAUACUAGUUGAUUCACAUUUCCAGCUAAGUUUAUUUCUAAAUGAAAUAAGCGAAGCGGGUAACGUGCUAUCUAUCUGUCAAAAAAAAACUUUGUUCCAUUCUCGUAUAAACUUUACUGUGUUCACCCCUGCCUAACACGUGUGAAGGAAGCGUGGCAAGAAUAUUAAUCUCAUACUGAAUACAAAUUAGGAUUAAGAUGUCGAAUCGUUGGCGCUAACUAUUAAUCCCAAAAGCUCGAGCUAUUAGAAAUACAAAACCAAUUCAUUUAAAGCGUAUAGAUAUGGUGCCUAUGAGUCUCAAUUGUAACUCGGCCCAACCAGCCUCACGCUAUUUCAAACAUGACUCGGCCCAACCAGCCUCACGCCAUUUCAAGCAUGACUGGCUCAACAUAGCCUCCUAUUACAGGGCAGGAUGCUCGCCGAUUUAAGUCAACAAUACGAUGGUUGUUGGAGAAUUCUUUCUGUGAGACUCGAUCAAAAAAUUACAAUGUAAGUUAGUUUAUGAAAAAAUUCGCCUGCCCCUGAAAGCAAAUGGAAAUGGAGUCUCAACUGAAGUGAUUCAUAUCUUUAGAUGGUGCAUGGAAGUUGCCAUCCAGUAUUUUGCGCAAAUCUCUUUAUGAUAUAGUUUCUAUUAUUCAGAUUUUGUCCUCAUCUAUUUCUCGAAAUAGGCCUAGUUAGCGGAUUAUGCACUGCACUCAUAUUCCCCAUAUAUAUAAUGGAGAAAUUCUCUGCAUUUCUUGCGUAAAACAAAACUUCUGCUACUAAUCGAUCAAGACCGUCCAUCUUGCCCUUCCAUCCAAAAGGGAGGAUCAAUCUUUAACUCCAGUAAUAGAAUUCUACAGGCAAAAGUGAUCUAUUUUUAUUACGAACUAAUUAGUUUAGUGUCGUGCAAGAAUUUUCCAUGCACUAGGUUGUAUGAAAUGCGCCCCCUUGUUUUAGAUAUGAGUAACGCUUUAUAUACUUUAAAAGGUACUCAGGAAUUAAUGUUGUUUGAGUGAACAUAGUAUGCGUGAUAGGUAAUGAUUGAUUUAACCCUUUAAUAAUUUUAAAAAGAAAACUCAAUUUUAUCAGUAAGUGAUUUGUCUAUCUUGCUAAUUCGUCAACAAUAUUGCAAUGUACCUUUUGAGCUACAUGUAUGAGAUUAAAACAAAAAAAAAAGGUUCAAAAUCUUAAUCGAAACGUAUUAAAGGUUAGUGAUUGAUGAUGAAAUUUACACGUACAUAUCAUUCUUAUUAAUUAAGAAUUAAUUAUCAUAUAAUUAUCUAUUAAAUGUAAAAAUUAUACAAAAUAAAAUAUUUGUGGAUCUAAAUUUGGUUUGAAUUUGUCCCUUUCUAUCCUCAUGAAAUUUUUGAGUUUUCUAAGUAAAUUAUAUAACACUGUAAGGCUAUAAGAUAUAGGGUUUUGACUUAUGGGAAUAUCAGGAUAGAAAAGAGAAUUUCAUAGAUUUUUAUGUUAAAACUAUCUGAAAAAAUUACAUUGUUAUAAAAAUAUUGUAAAAUUUUGCUAUAAGAUUAUGUUGUUUAGUUUCAUUAAUUAUAAUGUUAUGCCAAGAGCAAUACCAUCUGUAUACUCAAGAGAGACCGUAAAAUUUUAUACUGUACCUAUCCAAGGAUCAAUUUUAUUCUAUUAAUCUGAUCACAACUCUAUUUGUUUAAUACUAAUAAUUUAAGCACCCGUUUGGUUCGGGGUUAAGAGGUGGAAUAACCCCUUAAUCCCGAAGUUAUUCCCAAACACCCAAUUUGGGGUGUGGGGUUAGCUAACCCCACCCUAUCCCACUACUCCAACCAAAUAUUAUUUUAUCUAUAUCUGGACUAAACCUAAUUCUCAACCAAACACAAAAUUAUUCUAACCCCAUCUUAACCCUGAACUUAACUCUAUCCCUGUAAUAACAAGUUUUUACUUAAUCCCGAACCAAACGGUGGCUAAAAGAAUUAUUUCUACUGUUAAAUAAAUAAACUAAGAUUUACACUCUACUAGGUGGAAUAAUUAUUAGAUAGAAUAAGUGGUUGUUUCACAUCACCAAAGUCAACUACCUUGUUGACCAUUCAAUGUAGUACAAAAGAGAGCCUCCUAAUUUGAUGUUACUAGAUGAUUCCAGCUCUUUUGCUUUUCCUGCUGUUCCAUCAUCUUCUCCUGUUUGAUAUGAUAUCUGAGGUCUAAUAUGACUAGCCAUGCAAAACGGCUAGUCACCUAUUCCUCCAAAUUAGCAACAAUGGUAUUAAAAGAAUAAAUAAAUUUAAACAAGAAAACAAAAAAAAAAAAAAAAACUGAUCUUAUUUUGACAUAGCAAGUAUUUUUAGCUUGGUCAAAUUCCAAUAUUUUAUGGGGUGAACAUUUACCACUAACAAGUCAUGAUUCCUCUUAAAAAAAAAAAGGGUCAUUACCCCGCAUUAAUAAUGCCAAGCUCAAGCAGUGUAUUAUUUUUCGCUUCUUGAUAAUUUGAAUAAUAUCAGCUAUUUCUUUCUUAUCAAAUUGAAUUAUUCUUCUGUGACUUGUUAUAGAUUUGAGUACAAACUAAAUAGACAUCAUAUAAUAAACUUUUAUAAAAUAUAAGGAAAGCCGUCGUAAUCAUAACACUGUUGAAUAUGUUAAAGGAUAUAUGUAUAUAGAGUUAGGCUGGUAUACUAUUAUUAGUACGGAGGCCUCCGUGCUACCAAGUUGUUUUUAAUGAUGUAAAUUCCAAAUCGACUAUCGGCUCCAUUAGACUUGAUCUACACUUUUGAAAGUAUUUGAAAAGUAAAUUUUAUAAUUUUUCGACAUCAUUUACUUAUCAAACGAGUAGUCUAAAAAUAAACGGCUAAAAAUAAAAAUCUCAUAAAAAAUGAUGAUAGAAGGCUUGAAUUUAAAAUCAGAGUACUGAUCUUACUCUAAAUACUGAAAUGUAUUUUCUAUAAAAAUUUCAUCAGAUUUGAAUUAUUUUACACCGUUGAAUUCACAAACGUAUCACAUCGACCAUUAAAAUUGUCAAUUUUGAGAUCUUUUUAUCACUAACCAAAUGAUGUUGAAAAAUUAUGACAUUUAGUUUUUCAAUACUCUUAAUAGUGUAGAUCAAGUCUAACGGAACUGAUCAUCGAUUUGGAAGCCGCAUCAUUAAAAAUAAUUUGAUAGCACGGAGGUCUCCGUGGUACCAAUAUUAUACCAGCCUAUAUAUAUAUAUAUAUAUAUAUAUAAUUUGGAGCUCCUAUGCUUUUAAAAGUACCAAGUUAUUGGUGUUUACAGAUUUUAGCCAUUGGAUUAAGAGAUAUACGAUUAGGAUGAUGUGGGCCCUCUAAGGUUGAGUGGGUGGUUGGUUGAAUAGUAUAAUCUAAUGGUUGAAAAUGAUCCGAGGAAUAGAUCUAAAGGUAAACUUACAAGCACCAAGUGCUUGGUGCUUUUACAAGCUGGACUACUAUAUAUAUAUAUAUAUAUAUAAUAAUAAUAUAUAUAUAUAUUAUAUAUAUAUAUAUAUAUAUAUAUAUAUAUAGAAUUAUGCUGGAAUACUAUUAGUAGUAAAACACUCUUUUUGCUAUUAAGUUUUUAACCCUUGAAUGAAAAAUUGUAAGGUUAGAAUGAUAUUAGUCAGUUAAAGUUGAGUGGUCCUCCUAGGGUUGAGUGGUCCCUACUGGGUUAUAAUAUUUAAUCCAAUAGUUAGAAAUGAUGAAAAGAGUUGAUCCAUAGGCUAAAAAACUGGUAGCAACAAUGAAAUUUUACUACUAAUAGUAGCCCAGUCCAACUCUCUCUCUCUCUCUCUCUCUCUCUCUUUCUCUCUCUCUCUCUCUCUCUCUCUCUCUCUCUAUAUAUAUAUAUAUAUAUAUAUAUAUAUAUAUAUAUCAACUGUUCUUUUCUGGUUGAUAACUUAGUCAGUUAAUUCGCGAUUAAAACGCGAAUUAUAUGCGAAUCUUUAAAAACACGAAUUAAACGGCGUCUUCCUUAUUUUUUCGAAAAGUUCAAAAAAAUACGCGAUUUCUUCGUCAAAAAAAAGUGUUCGCGAAUUAUUCGCGAUUCGCGAAUGAUUCGGCCAAGAAAACGGCGCUCGCGGUUGCGGAUUCGCGGCCGAGGGUCACGUCGUCGCCGCGUUCGUGGUUGUGGAUUCGCGGCCGAGGGUCUCGUCAUCGCCGCUCUCGUCGCCGAACUCUUCUGGGUCGUCCUCUUCCUCCUUCGCGGCCCUGGCCGGCGCCGGGAGCAAGAUCUGCGGCGGCAGAUGUCGUCUCUCCCGAGGAAAGGUGGAAGAGGAACAGUAAAAAAAUAUCAGAACUUUUGGAGGCUAAUCAUGCGCGGUCUCGUGGACCACAUGAGAGGGAGGUCCAGUGGACCUCCCUCUCAUUAAUCAUUAUAUAUAUAUAGAGAGAGAGAGAGAGAGAGAGAGAGAGAGUGUGAGGCUAUUAUGCUUCUUGAAGCACAGAGCCUUCCGUGCUUCCAGGUCUUUUUCAGAUGUUGCGAUUUUCGAAUCGUCGAUCGGCUCCGUUAAACUUGAUCUAGAGUAUUUGAAGUACUUANAUAUAUAUAUUUAUUAUAACUUUGAAUAUAUUUAAUCUAUAUAAAAAAAAUUAUAAAAAAAAUAUAUAUAGUAUAUUAAUUAUUAUAUAUUUAUUAUAUAGCCGAAUUUUUGAUUCCUAAUUUUUUUAUUGGUAAACGUAUAAUAUCCGUAUAAAUCACGUAUCCGAAUAAUUACCAAAUCCGUUUUUUAACCGUAUUUUUCAACAAAUUUAAAAAUUAAAAGACGAAUUUUAUCCGAAUUAUAUCCGUACCGAAUUUUUGCCGAAUCCGAAUUAACUAACUAUGGUUGAUACCUACGAACUUUCUUAGGAGAGCUCUCGUAUUAAAUUUCGAGAGCUCAUUAUCUUGUACUUUUGGAAAAAGAAAUGCAAGAAAAGGCAAACAGUACUGUUAAUUACCAAUUGUUUAGGUGAUUAAAGAUAAAGUCUCUGGAUAUGUUUUCUAAUCAUGAUUUGUGAUGCAAAUCGGGACUGUGUAGAAGAGACCUAGUUUUUCGGGCCGAUUGGAUUGGGCUGGAAUGGGCCAAUUACAUUAUUGAUUGCAGCAACAAUAUGUUUCACAAACUUUUGAACUUUAUCUUCUUCAGUAGUUAAAUCAGCAGAUAUAUCAAAUAUGGCAUAUUGCUUUGCAUAUAUUGUUUUUUUUAAAAAAAAAUUUCUAAGUAAGUUUUUUUUGUGAGUGUGUUUUGAAACUUUACAAGAUGAUCUAUGGGACAAAUCACCAGAUAUGGUAGGUUCAUCAAGAGAAGGGCCAAUUAAUUAAGUUAUUUGGCAAAACUUUAGAAGGUAAUAAUUGCCAAAUUUUAGAAAGUUCUAAAGUUCAGAGGGUGCUUAUACAAAUACUACUUUAAGCAAAUGUUAAGCUUUUUAGCAAUUGUUUGCGCACUCUAGUUCACUUGUGCGUGUCGAACAUAAUAACAGAGGGUGUACGAUUUACACUCACUUUGGGUUUGGCCCUAUUUCACUCGGGCUUGGGCUCGACGAAUGUUGGGCAACACGGAAUAAAUUCAAGCUCGACUCAAUUUUCGAACAUUGAGCUUAUGUUAGCUUGCUAUGUUAGGUUAAUGCAUUGGUAUCUCUUAUUUGACCCCCUAAAGUAUCGCUGAUACGCUAGCAGUGUUUCAGAACGCGUGAGUGAACUAAUCAGCACGCACAACAUGCGAUUUGAAGUAUAUAAUAAUAAAUGAAACUUGAGGGACAUUUUUGAGGAUACAUGUAGCUGUUCCAAACAAUUGCAACUUGCAUAGUUGCAAGCUGUCCUUCUCAAAUUGAGGAACCCUUUUGUUUAAUUCUCUAAUGACCACAUAACAUAUAUUUAUCUUAUCGAAGUACUCGAGCCAAUCGCGUAUUAAGAUAUCAGAGAAAUGCUAAGUUUACAGCUAAAAAAAUGUCAUACUCUUUCAACCCCUUAUUCUAAGGCUCCCUAAAAUUUGCUCAACCCUUUUUUAAGUUCUUAAUAUAUUAAAAAAAUAGCAAUAAAACUAAUAAAAAAAUUAUUGGUUCGGCCCUUGAACGAUGAUGUUGCAGGAUUAAUAAGAACAGAUGAAACAUAUUCUAGCAAUUAUAUAUAAGGAGAAAAAAAAACAGAGAACUAAUAAAUUUCAAAUAACAGCUAUAAUCUUAAACUACUAUGCACAUCGCAUUUUUGCCCUCAAACUAUAUCUGAUGUAUUUUAAUCAAAUCUUAUUGCUUCUAUUUUUAUUCCCUAAAAUAAUGUAAAUAUAAAAUGUUUCGUACUACGGUAAGGAUUGUGCAAGAAAUUUUUUUUUUUUUUUCAUGCAUAGCUUACUAUUGAUUAAAAAUGUCAAGUCAUUUUUCGGUAGGCUCGAGCAAUAAAUAUUACAAUGAAAAGUAAUUGCAAUCUUUCUAAUAGCUCGAGAAUCUAAAAACUUAGAUUAGAGUGUGACACACAAAAUAAUUCGAAAACCACGAUGUAUAAUGAAUUUUUAAAAUUUUUCGUUGUAGAUUCGAAUCUCAGAAAAAAAAAAUUAUGGAAAGAGUAAUAAGAAAGCCAAUCUCUCGAUUCUUAAAAUUAUAAAGAGGUAUAUAAAAAAUUAUCUCAACUAAUAUACAUUUUGAUUUAAUUAUCUAUAUAGCCUUUGAAAAUUUUGAUCUUGCUACCUUACCUUUUAAUUUAUUUAACUUGAGUAAUUUUUUAGCUUUAAAAUUAAAUACUUCCUUUAGCUUUACAUACAAAAUUAACAUAUUUUAUGCAAUUUAUAUGUAACUAUAUAUCUAUUAAGAUAAAUAAUUACCUUAAAUUUUAUAUCAAAAGAAUCAUCAAAUGGCUUAAAUCAAAGACAUUUAAAAGUUAAACAUGAAAAUAAAAAAUUUGAAAUCACAUGCAGUUUAAUCAAAAUGAUCUAUAGUUCACAAAAUGCUCAGUAUAUUUUUAUUUUGAAACCAAACUGACAUUGACUGAUUUAAAUCAAACAAAUUAAAAAAUUAGAUAGUAAUAUUAAAAUUUUUAAAAAUUAGAUAAUAGUAAAAAAAAAUUAUUCUUUUCCGUACGAGCAAUAGAGGAGAGAGGUAGCAUAGGUCCACUCACCUGUGCGAUAGAUUAGUUCAACUUUUUCCGAAUCUCGUCGUGAUGCGUGAGACUCCAACUUAACUUUUACUUGUUCGAGAAAAAGAUUGCGUUAUUUGAAAGUUAUGAAAACUAAAAGAUAAAUUUAUUACGCACAUCAACAAAUUACUCUCACGAUACCAACUUCAAUGCUACGUAGCGCAUGUUAAAUUAUGAUUACCCCAUAUGUAGAGUCAAACAUCAUUUACUCUCGCUCUUUAUCCCAUACUCUCUACGUACAUCCCCAUGAAUGUGUUUAUUAUAUUUUUUAUUUUUUUCCCUUUGUAACUGCUAUAUCUGUAAUCAAAUCUAGUUUCUAAUUCACUCACUAAGCGCUUGGUUUGAGCUAUAUUCCAAAAUGGCAAAACUUUUGAGCUUGCUCUUGCUGCUGCUGCUUGCUUUUCUGGUGGCAGUUUCUGCAUCUGUUUCUUUCCGAAUAGAGUUAACCCAUGUCGACGCCGGGGGCCAUUUCAAUAAGUCGGAGCUCCUGCGUCGGGCCGUGCUCCGGAGCAAGAUACGGGCGGCAGCGUUACUGUCGAGGCCGGCAGUAGUGGUGCCCAAAUCGACCGCGGGGGCGCCGAUCAUACCAGUCCGCCCGAGCGAGGGGGAGUUCCUCAUGGACGUGGGGAUCGGCACGCCCCCGCACCCGUUUUCUGGGAUUCUUGAUACCGGCAGCGACCUCAUCUGGACUCAAUGCAGCUCCUGCAUUCUAUGCAUCGAGCAGCCGACGCCGUACUAUGACCCCACGAAAUCGUCCACCUCCUCCGCCGUCGCCUGCGCUGACCCGCUGUGCCAGGCGCUCCCCGGGCCACUGUGCUACCAAAACUCCUGCGUCUAUUUCUACAGCUAUGGCGACGCCGCCGCCACCGCCGGGUACCUCGCGGCGGAGACCCUCACCUUCGGAACCGCCAACGGUACAAAAGUUACUGUCCCCAGCAUCGCUUUCGGGUGCGGGAGCCUCAACGAAGGCUCGCUGUCGAACGGGUCGGGUAUGGUCGGGUUCGGGCGCGGGCCCUUAUCGCUCGUCAACCAACUGCAUGCGAAAAAGUUCUCUUACUGCUUCACUUCCUUUCUUGCAUCAAAUUCAAGCACUCUCUUUUUUGGCGCGCAAGCAAAACUCGCUAACAAUACGAAAUACGGGCCGGUGCAGAGCACGCCCUUCGUUAUAAGCCCGGCUCAGCCAUCGUUCUUCUUCGUAAACCUCACCGGCGUAACGGUCGGGGCCACUCGACUCCCGAUACCGCCGUCGGUGUUUGCUCUGAACCCCGACGGCUCCGGAGGCGUGUUUAUUGAUUCCGGCACGUCGAUCACGUACCUGCAGGAUGCGGCGUACGCCUUAGUGAGGGAGGCGUUUCUUUCGCAGGUGAAGCUGCAGGCGGUGAACGACACCGCGAUCGGGCUCGACGUGUGCUUUGCGCUCCCGUCGCCGCCGUUCGUGACCGCCGUGAUCCCGAAGCUCGUGUUCCACUUCGGCGGCGGCGCCGACAUGCAGCUGCCGCAGGAGAACUACAUGGCGAUCGAUAUCGCCACCGGGAACUUGUGCCUGGCGAUGCUGGGGAGCAGUGAUGGGUCGGUCAUAGGGAAUUUUCAGCAGCAGAAUAUGCAGAUGCUCUAUGAUCUGGAGAAUAACCUCUUGUCCUUUGUUCCUGCUCAGUGUGAUCUCGUGUGAUUUGGAUCUUACGAAAUUGCGGUAGUAGAUUAAUGCAGUUGUAGUCUUUUUGUUUAUGUGGGCUUUAUGAAUUGGUGAGGAGAGUCUCUAGGGUUACUUUGGAUUUUAAUUUGCAGUUGACAUGUAACAUUAAGAUAACAAUUAUUUAAUAAACUGGGAUUUUUGAAUAUAUAUUUGAAUUCUUUGAGAUGUAUUAUUCAGAAGGUCUAUUUUGGGCCUGUAACAUUGAAAAAGUUGUCCUAUUUAGUUUCUUAUAAGAAUUUUAGAAUAUUAUUAUAUUAUAUAAUAAUGCAAACUUUAGACCUUUGACUCCGCUAUGUUUACUCUCUUUUUUGAAAUCAGAUAUCAACUUCUAGAUUGUGUUGUUUUUCCAUAUUUUUCUUUGCCCAGGAAAAAAGUUAUUAAGGGGUGAAGCAUAAAAAUAAUAAUAAUAAUAAUAAAACUAUUCUUUUAUUGGUGUUUUGUCCAAAUCAUCUGUUAAAACUCAGGAUAACACAUCACUCAGACUAUGACUACAUAUCCUCAGUUGUGCAUAUUCCAUAUUAUCCCAAAAGAAUAUUAGGAAAAAAAGAACAGAACACAAAAAAGAAAGAUGCGAUUAAUUAAUUAAUUAAUUAAUUAAAGACUCAUUAAACAAAAUUUCAAAACUUUUAAAUAAUAAAUCAAUUUGAAAUAAUUAAGCUGUACUUCAUAGGAUGAAGCUUCCCCCAAAUGCACAUCAGCAGUAAAUCUCACCAACAACCUGCCACUUCACAGUCCACCUCCUUUUUCUUCCCUCCGAAAAUCCCAUAUAAAAAAGAGGGUAAAAAAUUCAUAAGAAUUUUCUUCUUUUUUUAAAAAAAGAAUUCUGUAAUGUUUUUUCAUGUCUUAACAACUAUCUCAGACCUACUUAUACUCUGAACAUUAGACCAUCUUCCUAGUGUUGGCCUCGUUUUGUUGUAUCGUUCUCAUCGCAUUCGCCUUAAACUUCAAAGAGUACUCCUCCCUAUCUGUGCUUUCUUUUUCAGAUGCUUUCACAGUUGCGCACUCGAAUCAAUUAGUCACCAAGAAAGCACUUUAACUUUGUCAUUAACUGGAAAAUGAAGUGUAGUUAGAAUAAAGCACUCCAAACAGCGCCAUCUCCCUCGCCACACCGGGAAUGUACAUCCUUUAUUCUAUCUACUGAGUUGCAGAUCCCACUGCAGCUCCAGUCGAACGAGGCGAUGCAAACAUUUCCUGCCUGUGAUUUCCACUCACAAUCUGCAUAAAAAUUUAAAGAACAAAUGAUAAGUAUGAUACUAAGAAUAAUUAAUUACAAUUUUAUUCCCCGAAAUUUUAUCCCAGUUUCAAUUACUUUCUCAGAGCAUUUAAUUCGGCGUUUCUGUCCCUAAACCCCUACUCUACCAUCUAAAGCAACACCGUGUCUGCAUCAUUAUCGAAAAUGAAAUCUCAAAACGCUUGCCCCGUUAGAGAGCCCUACCGAUGAUGUUUGCAUGGCAUACUUUUUUCCGGAUGAUAGGCUAAUGGGAGGUUCAUUGUUAUGCAGGAAAAACUUCGAAUAAUAAAUUUUUAAAAUUGAAAUCCCGAUAAUGUGAUUGAAAUCAGGUCAAAUAAGCGAACCAACCUGGGGGAGUUCCACAGCACAUGUUCCUCUCAUCAAUAUGUUCGACUUCCAGCCCAAUAAACCAUGAACCUAAGGAUACAUCUUCAUUCGCAUAUUUAUGUAGUAUAGGCCUGCAGAUGGGAUUAAGUUAAUCAAAAUCAUUUUAUAUAUAUUAAGCACAAACAAUAUGUAUCACCACUAUCAUAAUCUUACUGGUUGAUCGAGAUGUAGGUGGCCAAAUCCUUUGAGACAGCAUAUAUCUGCCCCGUAGCAUGGCGGAAGUACUUGUUUCCUUCCUCUCCAAAUUUCCAAUAUUCAGGCUCAUGGUACUUAACAUUCCUAUAGAAAUCACAGAGAAUUUCAUAUAAGUAUAUACUGUACAUUACUGAUGCGAUAACACUCUGUAGGAAAAGUGGUAGAAAUUUACUUAUCAGAAAGAACUGGCCCAGACUUCAUACAACCUAUGUAGGUUCUUGGUUUCGAUCUAUGUCGAGCGAGAGUUGUAGCUAGCAUGCCUGCAUUAUAAUGGUUAUAAUGUCAUCAAAUAAUAUUCUUUCAACUUUCUCAAGAGGAACUAUAACAGAAGAAACACCAAAAUAGCACCUAGGUUCACGUGGACAUCAUCAUCGACCUUGACAUAAAAUUCAGCAUCCCAUAUGGCAACAGCUGUGGAGAAAAAUAUUUUCGUCUUUGCUGAUAAUUCAUGGUACCCUUCAACAUGGUCCUAUAAGAAUGAAUUGAUUGAUAAGGGAAGAAAAGUUAGUAAUUGCUUUAUUUGUGAGAAGCACCGAGAUGUGAUUUAAUUGAAUGUUGUGAAGUAAAACACCAUACCAGCCUAAGAAAGUCACGAUGCUGAGCAUCUUCAGAGUCUAUAGCCUUGUCUAGGAUACUAUUUGAUGUAGCACUGUAAAACAGCAGUGCAAGAUUAUGGGUUAGUCUUUCAGUAACAAGUCAAGCAUUGCUUCUUUUAUAUGCCAAUUGCAUAGCCUAGCUACAGUGAAAAGAAUGUGAUAAUAAGACAAACAAGCAACACAUUUAACACUUCCACAAAUGACCAAAAAAACGAAAAAUGGAGCCUUUAUGUCCUAAUUGAAGGUUUACAAGAUGAAUCCCUCUCCAGAGUUAACCUCUAUUUUGGCAAAAUCUAGUCAGCAAACGAUAGUAAUAACAGAACAAUGAGAGGGUUAUUCAAUCGCAAUUAACUGAGUCAGCUACAAUAUUUCCCAUCUCCCCUUAAAGCUCAACAUUGAGCACUGCAUCCUGUUAAAGAAAUAUCAUUUCUCUUUUCAUUCUCAGCCCAUUCCAGAAUACCUUGUAAGAUAAAAGAUCUAAAAUGUUUAACAUGUUGAAUAGCAAAUAAUGUCGCAGUUUCAAUCAAAGAACUGGUCGUAAGAUCCAUAUGGACAAGCCAUGUCCUAACCUCAUGUAUGCAUGACAUUGAUUAUUUGCACAAUGAUACCAUUUUAGCAUAGAAUAAAAAUGUACAGCAGCAAUCCUCAGGAGGAAUGUGAUAAAUUGAUGACAGUUGAAAUCACGAGUGAUUUGUACACAUGCCUCACACUCUAAUACCAUGCUAUGAGUUGUGUUAUUCUAAAGCUUCUUAGAGAUGGUCCAAGAACAAAACAUGCUGAUGUGAAAUACAAACUGAAGAAUAUAUUAUAUUCCAAGUGAACUGAUGAGCAUAACUCGCAUACGAGGUGGUCACCAGGAAAAAGGGAAUGAAUGAGAAAAGAAAAAUAGAAAAAGCUAACUUGACGCUGAAGCACUGAUAACGGCUAGUCGAACACUAGACAAAAACAUAAAAUAGACAAGGAACUCCUGUUAAGACAAUGUAUUUGCAGUGAAAAUAUAUACAUGGGAAUUUGUGGCUAUAGAAUCUCCCAGGACUGAAGUUAGGAAAGUAAUAGAAUACAUAGUAGACUACCUGUGGCCAAUCAUAAACCGAACGACGAUUCCCUUCUGCUGUUCCAAUUGCUGGAGUUUUUCACCUAAUUGAAUUGAAAACAAGUAACAAAAACAAAUUAAUUAAUCUUAACAAAAGAACAGCAGGAAAGGCGUUGAUUACAAAGAUGAAAAUAUCUAUUAGGUAGUUAGGAAGUAAUGCUCUCUUAUCAUCUCCCAAACUAAAAAUGUUAUUGCUAGUGAAUUUAAAUUGUGCUUCUUUGGCCUGGCUUCUAGACCUGGAGAAGCAAUAGCUACAAUUUCAAGCUUCCGCUUUAGCUGCAGAGGAAGCUGAUAUUGAAAAACAGCUACUGCUUCUCUCAACAGCUUUACUAAAUCAUGACAACCAUGAACAACAAUCUCAAUCUGCAUAGAGACAUCUACAGAUUCCUUCAAGAGUUGAAGCAACUUCAGAUAUUAUGGCAGUAACUAAUAAAGAGCAUCGCACAUUUCAAGAACCGUGCAAGAACAGAGGUAAAGAUCUAAAAGAAGAAAAAUGAGCUCAAGUCAUAAUACAACUCAAAAUUCAUGAAGGCUGAAUAUGUUAGCGACUGUCAAGAUGUGCAUAAAAGCACACAAUAAUUACUCGAUCACAAGAAAGUAACAGUAUGCAUAGGCAAAAGAUCUCUGUCUAACAGUUUGGCCUGAUGGUAUUAAAGCAUAAAAGUGAGAAGCUUGUACAUAGAUAAAUAUAAAAAGCCGCGCCAAACAAAUAAACCAUAGAAUGAGGCAUCUAGUAAUAAAUAACAAGUGAAGUGACUCUAAAAAUGUGAAUCAGAGAAAAUAACUUCUGGUUGUACCAUAGCAUUCAAUUAGCUGUGAAAGAUGAUGUUCGAAAUGAUGGCACAAUAUAUUGGUCCCAUAUUUCAUUAAACAAGCAUCUAAUCUACAAUCUUCUAGGAAGCAUUAAAGAUCAUGGUCUAUUUACACAGAAUAAAAUUUAGAUUUCAAGCAAGUCUCUGCUGAACUUUAAAGAACCGCAUAAUAUCAUUAAUUACUCAUCACCAUAACUAUCUCAAUCUUUAAAACUGUGUCAAAGUAAUUAAGCAGAAUCUACAGAUCCCCCUAAAGAAUUCUGAUAUGUGAACUUCAGUUAUUAGCAGUAUAGCAAGUUUUAAAUGCCACUUCAUCUAGAGAUAUAGCAAGAAUAAACAAAGAUGACUGAAUAAACAAAUCUCCAUAUUUCAAAAGAGGGCUAACAAAAUAUAAUACCUUGUGGUAUCCAGGUCUCUCUAACGGAAUCGCGCCUCUUCCUGCUACUGAACGCGGUAUUGAUCCCAAUCACAACAAAAGCCUUCUUCCUCUGCUUAUCAGGGGCUGAAGUCGACGGCGAACCGCCGCCGCCGCCAAGCAGCUCCUGCGAGCUCCGCUUGGCGGCCAGCUCCAUCUGUAGGGUCGAGAUGGUCUUAUCCAAAGAUCUGAUAACAUCAUAUUUACCAAGUUUAGUACAAGAACUAAAAGAUCUCACAAUUCUUCAAAGAACACGGAUUAAGAUUCAUCAACUCACUGUAUGGCCUCGUGGGUCCUCGUCACCUCCCCCAUUAUAUCUUCAUCUUUACCAAGCUUCUAAAAUUCAAAGGAGAUACCAAUUUAGACGAUACCAACAUUAAAAAAAAAUUAAAUACUUGCAUUUUAGAAUCAAAACUAACCCUUUUGGUGGCGCAAUCCUCGGAGAUGAUCUGCAGCUCCUGUUCUUGCCGCCGCCUGGUAACAAUCUGAUUAUUGGAAUCAGGCACAUUCCAGAACCUGCCACUCAAAAAACCCCAAAAAUCACGAAUAAUCCACGCAAAAAAGAAACACCAAAUUGAAUCAAUCUCCCAAAAUCAAGCAGAAGUUGCAAUUUUUAGGCUAACCCAGAUCCCAAAUCUCUUACAGGACGACCAAAAACAGCAAAAGAUCGAUUUUUUUUUUUUUUUUUGCGUGUGCAAAAGAAACCAACCUAUCUGUGAACAACAUUCCGAGGCCGAAGCUGAAGACGCAGAGGAUGAGUAUCCAUCUCGCCGAGAUCUUCUUCUCGCUACUACUACUACUACUCCGUCCCUUCAUCGAUAACUGAGCUUCUUCCUCCCCUCUUCUUCGUUCCCCUUCCCCCUCUCCUCUCCUCUCCUCUCCUCUCCACUCCUCUCCUUCGUUGUCAAGGCGCGAUCCGAGACCCCACCUUAAGCUUUAAGAAAUGCGCGUAGACGCGCGAGGAGACGACGAGGAAGUUGAUGAGGAUGGCGAAGAGGAAUACCAAAGUGCGUCAAAGGAGACGGCUUUUUUGGAAGGGGUGGGGUGAGGUGGUGGGACGGCUCGCGCUAGGGUUACCGCACCGGUCCAAUUACCGCACAGCGUUGGGAGGAAGGAGGAGGCGGAGGAGAAGAGACCGAGGUAUGGUGCGGUGGGGCCCCACUCUGGGUUGGUCCCACGCGGCGCGUGAAAUGGUUCGUGCGAGGAGAGAGAGAGAGAGAGAGAGAGAGAGAGAGAGAGAGAGAGGGGAGGGUCGGCGACGCGGUUAUGUAGUCUUAGGGAGAGGUUAUAUUUAUUAAUUAAUUAAUUAAUACUAAUUAAUGGAUCUUAAAUUUUCUUCUUUUUUUUUUUUCUUCCUUUUGUUUGGUUGGAAACGCAUUGCGUUACGCAGGUUUAAUAAUUGGGUGAGAAAUUAGUGCUGUUUAUUUAUUUAUUUAUUAUUAUCUAUUUUUCAGAGAGGUUUCGUGUAAAAAUUUCUCUCUGCACCUGGUGCACAAGUACAUGUCGUGCACACGUACAAAACUUUACAGAAGAGGUUUCAAAAUUCAAAUUUAGCUUGCUAAUUAUGUUUUAUAGUAUUCGAAAAAUUAUAUAUUUAAAGGUGUAGAGUUUGAAUAUCGGUGUCUUACCAAUUGAAUAAUGGUUCUUUAUAUUUCGUUAAUUUUUUAGACUACUUAUAUCUAGUUUGAAAAUAUUGAUCAUCAAAUAUGAAUACAGACACAGUGUAUGAGGUACAAAAAAAUAAACCGGUUGCAGGCAAUAAUUUUAAAAAUAUUUGAAUAAUUAGUAGCAGUUUUUGACCUCUCAGGUAGGGACCGUAGGGUAUAAUAAAUGUUUGAAAAUUGGAGCUAGAAGUUUCGUGCAGUUCACGGUUAUCGCUUAUCAGGGUAUAAAUUUUCUAUUUAUCGAACAUUUGAAUACGGUUUCUUAGAAGUAAAGAGCUUUAUAAAAGCAAAAAACAUGUUGUAGUCAUAGUUUUCAUCUCAAUGUCUUAUUCAAUAUAUGCAUUUUUCAUUGUCUCAUUUAAGAUAACUAGGCAUGUCUUGAGAUACUGAAAGAAACAGAAACUAUUAUUUUGAUAAUUCUCAGUACUUAGCUUGGAUUAAUCCAGAUCCUGAUGUCUCGGUGUACGAGAUUAUUAUUUUACAUAGUAUAUUUGUUUGUGCAUUUAUUUUGAGUUGGAAAUGGGUUCCAUGUACUAUAUAUUAUUAGUAGUAUUGCACUUUUUAAUUAAUAGAUCAUUCAAACGAGAAUGGUUGGUAGAGAAGUUUACUAAGGUCUCCUCAGGGGAAUGUUCAAAAUUUUGGUUUGACCGAGAAUGUUCAAAGGUUGGGGUGACUCAAUUAGCUGACCCAUUAUGUAAGCCUAAUCAUGGUGUUAAGUAGAUAUUCUACGGAAUGAGAGUCAUUAAGUAUAAGCAAAAGUUCAUAAUAAUUUGACAUCUCUCAUUUAAGUAUUGAUUUGAAGGAUAAAAGUUGAGAUUUAAAGCAAUUUAGAUUCAACCAAUGGAAGGCAACCUUGAAAUAUUUUAAUCAAAUAAGAUAAAAAAGAGUAUGAAAGAUUCAGAUAUGUCAUACGUGCUGCUCACAUGGCUAUGGCUGUCGAUGAACCCCAUUUAACCUGAAAAAAAAUCAAAGAAGUAAGAAGUAAAUCCCCAGAACACAGCUGCUGUUUACAUAGUUCCACAGAAGUUGUGGGAUUCAAAUCCCCAAAAUCAGAUCUGAUAAUCUGAUAACUUAUCAUUACAGGAGAAUAGGUACUGAAUAAUACUAUAUAUUUGCACCCGUGACUAUUUUAGUGCAUAUAAAUAAAAUAUGAGAUCAAUUUACAUUCAUUCAUGGGAGGGUGUGAUGAAUAGAUCAAGGUGGGCACCACAUCAAUCACCUAUAGAAAUCACAGCUCCUGCACAAAUUCUUUUACAUAUUAUGUAAAAUUUCGAGGUCCUUUCACACAGUUAUUUUUCUCCCAAAAAAUAAUUUCUGAAUUCUUGGGCUCAGGUCGCAUUCAAAAGAGGUAGCAGUACCACAUUACAUGGCUUUACAGCAAACAGCUUAGGAGACUAGGACCAAGGAGAGAGAAUGGCAUUUAAGUUAUAUAAAGACAGAUAAAAGAUGACCCCUCUUAAAACAAGUUGAUUAAAGGUUUAUUUAAUUUCUAGCGAACAAAGAAGAGAACAAGGGACACACAUGCAUAGCAUCUUCCGCUCACAAGAAAUAAUAAAAUUAAUGAGCAAAGAACCAACAUAAGGCAAGCACACAUCCGACGAAGUUCCAUUUGUCUGAUUCGUAAUGUCACUACUAAUUUAGUUUUACAGCAACAAACAAUAUGACGAAAAACAAAAAGGAGUCUCUUAAUUCACCAUUCUAUGGCAUAUUUUCCUAUGAUUGGACAACCUUGGCAAUAAUCCCACCAAACAUAAAAGUUCAUCCAAAUUUUGGGUCCCUCGAAGCAAAAUCUAUCAUCUCUAGGAGCAAAAACUACAAAACUUCAAAUAAAAUACGAAAACCAAAACAAUAAUUAAGUGAAAGCAUUGCAAUCCUUCAUAUCCACAAAUACACAGGGCGAUUAUGUCGGAAACUAUCUGCUAAUCUACAAUGGAGUUAAGAUAGAGUUUCAAAGAAGCACUUUGCAUGCUAAGUUAUCAACACGGCACCUCUUUCAUUUACAGAACAGCUAUUCACGCUCAUAAAGAAACGAAAUGAUAAAACAAAUCACACGCUAUAGUGAUCACUUCAUUUGUGCCCCUGACAAAGUUUAUAAUGGAUUCACCUUUAAACUUCCAUUUUGGCAACGAGAGAGAACCCUUCAAUUCAAUCUUCAGAAUGGCAAGUCCAAUAUAUCAACCCACUGCAAGAAGGAUUGAAGUCCAUGAAUAAAAAUAUCCCCAAAGAGGGAUGCAUGAAAAUAUUGAAAUUCAUGUAGAAAUACCUUAUUAGCACAAAGACGCAUUGCAGGACGCCAGCAACUCCAGUCCAAACAGAGGGACCCUUGUCUGUUAGUGCAUCCUGUAUUAAUAAACCCACAGCCCCGGCUAAAGAGACAAAAGACACAACGUACGCCACAAAGAGCCAAAGCUUCACCCUGUGAUUUCAAAGAAUUUGCGUUACAACAAGAUACAGGUUUAACAAUAUCUCUACACCAAAGCACAAGUUUAAAAAUCAAAAUAUAGUCACACAAGCACACACACACACACACACACACACACGAAUGGAGGCUAGUUUUCUCACAUCCCGCUUCCCAGGGGUUCACCCAUCAUUGAGCCCAUGGUUCAAUUAACUGAGUAUUCUAGACCUGAUGACCUGCUGGGCCAAACCCACCGGCCCAAAAUACUUGAGCCCGAUUAUUAGGUUUAGGCUACCCAAUCUUAUAUACCCCACACUAUGCCCUUGGCUAUCCCAUGUGGGACUAUUCUCUAAUCUGAAGUGUCACAGACUCCCCUGCUUUUACGCCCUCACGCCCUGACAUUCUCCCUAGGCUCAAUUACACACAACUCAAGAUCGCCAAGCUCAAUCACACACAGCCUAAGAUCGCCAGGCAAUGUGAAACUUUGUCUCACACUUCCGGCUAACUUCCGGCUAACUGACCUGCUGGGCCAAACCCACCGGCCCAAAAUACUUGAGCCCGAUUAUUAGGUUUAGGCUACCCAAUCUUAUAUACCCCACACUAUGCCCUUGGCUAUCCCAUGUGGGACUAUUCUCUAAUCUGAAGUGUCACAGACUCCCCUGCUUUUACGCCCUGACGCCCUGACAUUCUCCCUAGGCUCAAUUACACACAACUCAAGAUCGCCAAGCUCAAUCACACACAGCCUAAGAUCGCCAGGCAAUGUGAAACUUUGUCUCACACUUCCGGCUAACUUCCGGCUAACCGACCUGCUCUGAUACCGUAGUCACAUCCCGCUUCCUAGGGGGUCACCUAUUGUCGACCCCGGCAGCUCGAUUAACUGGAUAUUUUAGACCUGAGAAUCUGUUCAGCCAAAUCAACCAGUCCAAAAUACUUUAGCUCGGUUAUGGGUGUCACAAGUUUAGCCUUAAAACUAGGAAAAAGGCAAGAAUUACAUUCUAAGCAUGAAAUAUUUUGCACAAAAGUAUUAAAGAACCGAAGCUGCUGUAUGAUGAAUAUCUUCCUGCCUGCCACAUAUAUAAUAUCGUAUGUUUCGUUCCAUAUGCAAGCUAAUAAAGAAAUAUAUUCCCCCCAUCAAUUUCAUGAACACCAACAAACUCUGGUAAAUCUCAAAUUAAAUAUGAACAUUCUGGUUUCAGGCAUGCCACUCGGAAACUAGAGUCCAACUGAAACAUCUCAGUAUCGGAUAAAAACAAUAUAUCAAAUCAUACUGAAAGUUAUCUUUCUAUAGCUGUUUAGAUUUCCCGCAAUCCUUCUGCUCUUUUGUUUGAGAUUUUUCAACUAAAAUCCAUGUGAGCCAGAAACUGCAUAAACAAAACAUAGUGUCUGAGGCAGAAAACACCACCAACUAUUUAAACCUCUGAUGAACUGCCCAAAUUCUGGCAAACCUGCAAAAACCAGGACAUUCUAACAGAGGCUGAACAGAAAUGCAAACUAAUUAAAACCCACCCUCCACUAUGGGAAAACCCUUUUUACUUUUGAAACUAUCGAGCAAAAUAGUCGUCUCACCUUUCUUCUCAUCUGCUGGGACAGCCAUUACAAGGUCAAAGGCACAGAAGUAAACUUCAAUCAAGUAACCAAAUUCCCUAAUGCAGCAUUUCUAAUGCUCAAAUCCCAAGUUCCAAAUUUGUGCACAUACAAAUGCAUUCACAGUUGUUGCUGCUUUGCACGAUAAAAUUCCGAUACCUCAGACACAGGAUGGUCCACAUGGGCCAGAUAAAAUCCAUUAUGCACCACAUAACAGGAAUUCCAAGUUUACCAAGUAAACAGGACUAGGAAGCAAGGACAAUAGACAAGUCACUGACUUAGUAACAAGGCAAAAACCAAAUAGUUACCAAGGGACCAUAAUUUGUUCACUUCCUGCACUUUAGGGGAUUAACCCCUAAGCACAAGGCGGAGUCCACCGACGCCAUCAAAAUACAGUAUCCUGUAUGCAGCAAUUUUCUACAAUAUGAGAUAAAAUAGAUAAUACCGGCACUUUGUGCUAAGUCAGUAGCAAUUCUACAACAGUGAACGGAAGGGCCAGAAAACAACAGAUUGAAUCAUCACUCAUCAUUCAUGCCUUUUCAAGUACAUGGGAUGAGAUAUAAAGCAACUAAAGGUUCUAAUAAACGUAAAGCAAUGUCAUCAUGUAGCCUAAGCAACCCUUGGCAAUAGACCAUCUCACCACCAGCCAAUAGUUAGGUGGUAAUUCUGGCAUCAGAAAACUAAGCUAAAAAUAAAAUACUAAGAAUUAUUAAUACUAUUACGUCCAAAUGCUCGGGAACAAUUCAUCUUAUGGUUGUGAAACAGAACCAAAUUCCAUUAAAAUAUCUAGUAGAGUUAUUAGCACAUUAAAUUUUGACACCAUAAAAAGUUUCAUCCCAUAUGUCCAAGUAUCAAAAACAAUCACCUUCGAAGAAUUGCUAAAUAUUUAGGCAUUCAGGUAACAUGAGACCUAUACUGGCUAAAAUUAAUCAUAAUUGGUAUGGAAAGACCGAUUAAAAAGCACAAAAAAAAAGAGAACUUCUCCCAUUGAGUCUGCUCUCUAUCACAUAGAAAGGAAAUCAUAUUGUUCUGGGACAAACGCCAAUAAAAAGGUCUUCUUACCUCAAAUCCAUUACUCUCAAUGUCCUUUGCUACAACAAAUCUGGAGCAUAAAAAUAUCAAAUAACAUCACAAUAGUCACAUAGGCAUUCUUAGCAGUUCGAUCAGCUGUGAAAUCAGCUUGCUGCAACAGUUCUAAGCAGUACUUAACAAUACUCCAGCAUGUUGGCACUAUAUCAACAUUAAUCAUCCAAUUGCAAAAAGAAUAAAAUCAGAUGAUGAAAAAGAUAUUCUUUUUUUUUUUGAGAGAUAGGUAGCACGCUACCCGCUUCGUUUAUUUCAUUUAGAAAUAAACUUAGCUGAAUCAACUAGGAUUCGAACUUGGGUCUCGGGUACCAACCACCAAGCCCUUUUGCCACUUGCGCUGGGGACGGUCGGUAUGUUAAAGAUAUUCUGGAACAAGUUUAGCAACACAAAUCAUCCAAAAUAUUCUUUCAACCUAGUCGAGCAGCAACUUGAACCCAUUAAUCGAAUCAUUCAUAUGACUUACUUGCCAUAGUGUAGCACUUCCAUUCCCCUUAUGUUGAUUUCAUGCUUGUUGUUUACACACGCUAAACAACUUCAUAUUACUCUUGUUCCCCUAAUGUUGCCUUCAUGUUUCAUUACCCGCCUUAAACAAUUCUGUAUUACUUAGUGGCAAAACCAGAUGGCCUCUUUCCCACAGGAACAUCCACACAACAAUAAAGAGGACUUUUUUUUUCUUCAGGUCUCAAGUCCAGGAUAGCCCAGCUGUGCCAGGGAAAAGAAUAGAAGAAGCAGCUGACUCUGUUGAGCAAUGCAUUACAUUUUGAUGGUCCUCCCUCCAGUUCAUGGUUCGAGCCGGGUGGCAUUACAAAGCUUUUGUUGUAAUGCUUUUGGUAUAUUGCCAACAGUUAUAGCAUAGCAAGCAACAAGAAAGAGCACACAAAUUUUCAAGUAGAUGAGAUCAGUCCAGUGGUGUCAGCUGGAGAUGGGCUAGUACAUGAAGAACAUAAGCCAGAUGACGAAACAGGGAGACCUAGGAUUAUGCGCAGGUGUGAACACACAUGCGGGUCUCAACGAUUGACGUGAGGGUGAAAGCUCCUUAACGAGCAAGAUUUGAGGCUCUAAACAAGACCUCUAAGAGAACGGAAAUUCAUUCCCUCUCACUAAUGGGGCAAGUUGUCAGGUUUCCCACAAGCUAUAGGUGGGGUCAAAAGAAGCAAGGACACCUAUCGGUGCUAUCGAUCGGAAUAGCAUCUAUUUGCCUAGCGACCUACCUAAACCAGAGGCCCACCGCUACGCCUAACAAACACACCAACACACCGACCCACCAAGAAGAGGGAUACCCUCAAAUUGAAUUCCUUCCUGCUCCUGUGGCUCAGACCCGCGGCUUGCUCACAGCGUGGUACAUUGCGGCUGGUUUCAACAGACGUCAUAAUGAAUCUGGUUCCCCUGAUGCUCGUCGCUUUCAUUUGUUCGCAAUCCCUGAGUGGAGGUAGUAGUAAAGCAAGUGGUUUCCUCCUUUUGUGAAAUCUUUUUACUUUAUUUAUGCACUCAAAUCCAAUCCAUCAGGGAAAGGAAGAAAAGAAAUUGAAGGGAGAACUUCUCUAUACAGCUUUCUUCGUGGGAAGGAGGGUCAUAUGCCCCAAGGGCAGUCGCAGCUUCACCAGGACAAGGCGAUGGUAUAUGAAACCACUGAAAAUGGCCUUUCAAAGCCUCACUUGUACUUCCUGUCCUCCCUUAUCUUGAUUUUCUUUUCUUUACUUGUUACUUGGAUUGAAAAGCGUUUUAAAAUUACUCCUUUUAGCUAAUUAACAAGGAUCAGAAUUUCUUCGGGAAAAAAAAGGCAACAUCUACAUUUGCAUCCUAUCUGAUCACUUCAAGAGAUUCGGAGCUGCCGAAACACCCAAUUCAGAUAGUGAAAAGCACAAAGCAAUCAAAUGCACAAAUUCUCCAAUCUAAAUCAAAAGAGCAAAUUCAGAAAUUGAAUCAAAAGAAUCAAACCUCCACUCCGUAUCAUCAUAGGGGGAGUAGGAACCGUAGCUAACAUCGUCCCUGCUGACGCAAUUGAACAUGAGCGCCGCGAGAGAGGCGAAGAUCCCUGCGAAUUACACACUUAGAAACCCUAAUAGUACGAAAUACACAUUGGGGAAUCCUCAGAUUAGAAGGGGGAAAGGAGGAGAUUACCCGGGAGGUAGUGGAGGAAGGAGACCUUAACGGCGCUACACACGACUGCGUCGACCCAGAACCACCACCCGGCGCCGAACACGGCGCCGGCGAUGCCGGGGCCCAUGAUCUCCCACAUCAGCGAGAGGUUGUUGUCCAUGGCGUCGUCGUCGUCGUCGUCGUCGUCGUCGUCGUCGACGGCGUCGUCUUCUUCCUUUCGACUCCCCUUUCUCUCUCUCUUUCUCUCUUACUCGUUCGUCUCUGUUGAUUAGGAGCGGAGUCGAUGGAAAUCGACGAGAAAACGCAAGCGAGAAUCUAAAGAUUUUUUAAAAAAUAUUUUUUUUAUUUAAAUAUAUAUAGAAAAGCUAGAGAGUUUUAUUGUCGAACUGUUAGUGUGUUGACAAUCAGGCCCAAAACAUUUAAUGGGCUUUAGCCCGAUAUUGGCUCCAAACAAACCAAAAUCAAAAUAAAAUGGUAAAAUGUUCUAAGUAGGUUUUGUAUGCUAUUAGAAGAACGGAGAUCUCUGUGCUUUUAAGUCGUUUUCGAUGAUAGAGUUUUCGAAUCGGCGAUCGGCUCCGUUAGACUUGAUCUAGUACAUUUGAACUAUCUAUAAAAUAAAUUUUGCGCUUUUUUGAUAUUAUCUACCUAGCGAUCGAAAGGGUUUAAAAUCAAUAAUUUGUAAUGGUUGAUGUAUACCGUUUACAAGUUUAAUGGUGUAGUAGUUUUCAAAUCAAACGCAAUUUAAAUAGAAAAUUUUUUAUACUAUAUACGACAAAAUUAAUAUCUCUAAUCGAAAAUUUUAGUACUACAUCAUAACUUUUUGUGAGAUUUUUAUUUUCAACGGUUGAUUUUGAGUCAUUUCAAUCACUAGAUAAAUGAUAUCAAAAAAUCGCAAAAAUUAUUUUCUAGAUAGUUCAAAUAAGCUAGAUCAAGUUUAAUAAAGUUGAUCGUCAAUUUGGAAGUUUCAUAGUAAAAAACGGUUUAGAAGCACGGAAGCCUUCGUGCUUCUGUUAGCAUACAAAACCUACUCAAAUCUUUUAAUAUAUUUAGUUAGAAUAAUAAUAUAUAUUAUAUAUUAUAUAUUAUUGUCUUCUCUCUUUAACUGGGAUGGAAAAAGUUUAGUUAUCCAAAUAUAAUUAAAAUAAAAAUUAAAUUAAAUUAUAAAAAUUAAAUUUAGAUUUAAAACUAAAUUCUUAGCUCAAUAAAGAAUUAAUUAUCUAAUUUAAAUUCAAAAUAAAACUUAAAUAUUCAAAAUUUGCAUCAAAUGUUUGAAAUGAUAAGCCAAAAUUGUAAAUAUAAAUAUUUCUAAAAUUAUAAAUUGAGUUUGCCAUUCAAAGUAUUUACAAUUUUAUUCAAAUUCAAACUUAAAAUUAUUUAAAUUUUAAAUAUAUAAAUUUGAAUUCAAAUUUAAAUUCAUAGAUCAAAUUCAAAAUACUUUGAUUAAAUUUAAAUUUAAAUUUAAAUUUAAUUAAAAAUCUGUAAUAAAAAGUUUAAUUUUUGAUUUAAACUCAUAUUUUAAUUAAAAAUAAAGGUAAAAAUUUAAAUUUAAUUUCAAAUUAAAAUAUAAAAAUAAUUAAGAUAUU